rnacentral:rRNA from 1 species
CCCUAUGGGGUGCAGCAGGCGAGGUAUUUCGUUGAGUUUUUCGAUAGGUAGGUUGAUAGACCGUAAAAGCAGGAUACUUAGAAAAAGAAUUUCCAUUGAAAGAGGGGUUGUUAGAUUUUGAGGUACGAAGGACUGUAAGACAUUCAACAGGCUCAAAUACUAAAGGAGGUGUCGUAAUGGAAGAACGUUUUUUGAAAGCUGGUUGGGCUAAAGGGCAGCCGGGGAGGGCCAUAUUCCUGCUGGUGGUUACACUUUUAAUGUCCUUUGUUAUCUGUGCCGCCCAAAGUAUCAGAAUGUUCGGUGAUCAAUUUGGUAUGCAGGUAAUGUGUAUGAUUCCCUUGGCUUUUAUGCUGGGUUCAUUCCAGGUAAGUAAAGUUAUUGGCGGGAGGGC